GGGCCCGUAGCCUAGUUGGAUAGGGCGCAGUGGGUUAGACCGGCGAAAGCCUUCGGAGGUUGUCAUGGAGAAAGCCUGAUGUCGGGGGUUCGAAUCCCUCCGGGCCCG
rnacentral:tRNA from 1 species